rnacentral:rRNA from 1 species
GAUGAACGCUGGCGGCGUGCCUAAUACAUGCAAGUCGAGCGAACUGAUUAGAAGCUUGCUUCUAUGACGUUAGCGGCGGACGGGUGAGUAACACGUGGGCAACCUGCCUGUAAGACUGGGAUAACUUCGGGAAACCGAAGCUAAUACCGGAUAGGAUCUUCUCCUUCAUGGGAGAUGAUUGAAAGAUGGUUUCGGCUAUCACUUACAGAUGGGCCCGCGGUGCAUUAGCUAGUUGGUGAGGUAACGGCUCAACAAGGCAACGAUGCAUAGCCGACAUGAGAGGGUGAUCGGCCACACUGGGACUGAGACACGGCCCAGACUCCUACGGGAGGCAGCAGUAGGGAAUCUUCCGCAAUGGACGAAAGUCUGACGGAGCAACGCCGCGUGAGUGAUGAAGGCUUUCGGGUCGUAAAACUCUGUUGUUAGGGAAGAACAAGUACAAGAGUAACUGCUUGAACCUUGACGGUACCUAACCAGAAAGCCACGGCUAACUACGUGCCAGCAGCCGCCGUAACAC